rnacentral:tRNA from 1 species
GGGUCGUUAGCUCAGCUGGAUAGAGUACCAGACUUCGAAUCUGGGUGUCAGGGGUUCGAAUCCCUUACGGCCCGCCA